rnacentral:rRNA from 1 species
UGACAGUACUCCUACGGGGAGCAGCAGUGGGGGAAUAUUGCACAAUGGGCGCAAGCCUGAUGCAGCCAUGCCGCGUGUAUGAAGAAGGCCUUCGGGUUGUAAAGUACUUUCAGCAGUGAGGAAGGUAUCGUAGUUAAUAGCUGCGGUAUUUGACGUUAGCUGCAGAAGAAGCACCGGCUAACUCCGUGCCAGCAGCCGCGGUAAUACGGAGGGUGCGAGCGUUAAUCGGAAUUACUGGGCGUAAAGCGCAUGCAGGUGGUUUGUUAAGUCAGAUGUGAAAGCCCGGGGCUCAACCUCGGAAUUGCAUUUGAAACUGGCAGACUAGAGUACUGUAGAGGGGGGUAGGAAUUUCAGGUGUAGCGGUGAAAUGCGUAGAGAUCUGAAGGAAUACCGGUGGCGAAGGCGGCCCCCUCGGACAGAUACUGACACUCAGAUGCGAAAGCGUGGGGAGCAAACAGGAUUAGAUACCCUGGUAG